rnacentral:rRNA from 1 species
UACGGGGGGGGCAAGCGUUGUUCGGAAUUACUGGGCGUAAAGGGCUCGUAGGCGGCCAACUAAGUCGGAUGUGAAAUCCCUCGGCUUAACUGAGGACGUGCGGAAGAAACUGCAAGGCUCGAGUCCGGGAGAGGGGGGUGGAAUUCCCAGUGUAGCGGUGAAAUGCGUAGAUAUUGGGAGGAACACCGGUGGCGAAGGCGGCCCCCUGGACCGGUACUGACGCUGAGGCGCGAAAGCGUGGGUAGCAAACGGG